rnacentral:rRNA from 1 species
GACGAACGCUGGCGGCGUGCUUAACACAUGCAAGUCGAACGGUGAAGCGCCUUCCUUUUUGGUGGGUGUGGAUGAGUGGCGAACGGGUGAGUAACACGUGAGUAACCUGCCCCCUUCUCCUGGAUAACCGCAUGAAAGUGUGGCUAAUACGGGAUAUUCUGGGUCUGUCGCAUGAUGGGUCUGGGAAAGAUAUUGUUUCGGUGGGGGAUGGGCUCGCGGCCUAUCAGCUUGUUGGUGGGGUGAUGGCCUACCAAGGCGGUGACGGGUAGCCGGCCUGAGAGGGUGGACGGUCGCACUGGGACUGAGACACGGCCCAGACUCCUACGGGAGGCAGCAGUGGGGAAUAUUGCACAAUGGGCGCAAGCCUGAUGCAGCGACGCAGCGUGAGGGAUGGAGGCCUUCGGGUUGUGAACCUCUUUCGCCAGUGAAGCAGGCCUGCCUCGUUUGUGGGUGGGUUGACGGUAGCUGGAUAAGAAGCGCCGGCUAACUACGUG